rnacentral:RNase_P_RNA from 1 species
GAAGUGGGUCGGGCGAUCGCUGCUGCUUUGCAGGAGAGGAAGGUCCGGACUCCAAAGGAAGGGGUGACGGCUAACGGCCGUACGCAGCAAGUAUCCGUAAGGGUGCCCAAGGCGAGGAACAGGGCCACAGAGACGAGUAAGCACGGUUAACUGUGUGGACGUGAAACGCGGUAACCUCCACCCGGAGCAACACCAAAUAGGCGCGCGACUGGUCUCGGCCAGAACAGGUGUUCCGCCUGAUGCGCGCGGGUAGGUGGCUUGAGCCUGUCGGUAACGGCAGGCCUAGAGGGAUGAUCGCUAUAGUUGAUUGUGCGAGCAGUCAACCGUAACAGAAUCCGGCCUACAGACUCACUUCGUUU